rnacentral:rRNA from 1 species
AUGACCACGCAGACGCAAGAUCUUAGUCAGGCCCUUGUCCUGUCCGACAGCCAGUUUGCUCCAUCGUUUGUCGAGGACUCGCAUCCUAUGUCCGAGAUGGCACCUUAUUCAGAGGUGUUCGCGUCUGAUUCCGUCUAUGUACCAGUAGUGCUCGUUGAGCCAACUCCUACUGCUGCUGCCGCUACACUCAAGGUAGCAACAGCAAAGGCAAAGAAGGAUGAUAGGCCGAACAACAUGAAGUGGCAGCCGUUCAUGUCCACGUUCGUGCUGAACAAGAUGUGUGAGCUCAUCUCUAGUGGAGUUAGGACUGACAAGGGCUUCAAGGAGGUGCACUUGAACACCGUUGCGAAGCAGGUGUUCGAGUUCUGUGGGCAGGAGGUGUCUGCCACCCAGGUGUACAACCACCUGAGGAAGUGGAGAGGUCGAUGGAUCCAAGUGUCCAAGCUAAGAGACCUUAGCGGCGCCUCAUGGGAUGAGAACACUUGCUAG